GUCCAGUCUUGGGUCAUGAAGCUAAGAACGCAGUACUUCCGAGUGAUGUUGGUGUACGCACGCUCGAAGCGGAGGUUCUUGGGGUUGAAGUCCCGCUCAGAGUAGGGGAUGCCAGUGAGGAGAUGGGAAGCCUCCAUGCGAGGGAUGCCGUCGAGGGGAAAAGCAGCUUCGACGGCUCCCAUGGAGGGGUAACGGACUGGAUCUUCCUUCAUGUACCGGUAAAUGCAACUCAGCCGGGUGAUGUAGAUCUUUUGAGUGUCACCGGUGAGGUUGGCCUGCAAAAUGAAAAGUGGGGUUGGAGAUGAGGUCACAGUGUGAAUAAAGGCUCAAAACACUCUAUCGACGAUAUCGAUACCUGAUGUCUCCACUGGUCCUCCUUUGUGCUGGAAAAGUUGUAAAACACCGGCUUGUCCGGCCACUCAAAGUUUCUCCAAUUACUAACGGUCAAACCCACCCAAUCCCCAUCGGUGAGGUGGGUGUUGAGCAGUUUCAUUUUGGCUAGGUUACUACCAUGGGUGAACCAGUACAUGAAUUUCUCAGUCAGUUGCCUUAAACCCCAAGCGUGCCACCCGGGAACUCUAGUUCUCUUGGGAGCCAUGAUUGAUAGCAAAACAAAUGAUCAAAGAAAGGCUUAAGAUAUAGUCGGCCCUUGCUGAGAAGCAAACUCUGAGAGGAAAUUUGAAGGACUGGAGAGCUCAGAGUGGCAAAGGGAUAAAUAGAUUCUGGCGUGAGCCAUGAUUCGGCGUGGGGUCGUGAUGUCAUGCUAUGAACUUCUUAUGCGUCUUGGUAGCCUCUCACACAGUAAGAUGAUCAAGUUGUCGUCUUACUCACUGCCCUCUAUUGGCCAAGCCAGAGAAGGUGAUGAGAAGUUGCCAUGUAAUCCUCAUAAAAAGUAUCAUUCCCCCAAGCCCCUUUAGCCGGAACAAGUGAGGUGAACCUGCGGAAGGAUCAUUGAAUCCAUCCACAUCCACUCGCGAACUAUACCGUACCCCUCAAGUGGACCUCUGGGAAGCUUGGGCGGCUGUCUUUCGGGUCAGUCGGGCUCCCCGCACGGGUGAGUCGGCAACCUUUUACACACCCAACCAAAAAGUCUGUCUGAAGAUGAUUCGAUUCGGCACUGCUGAUCGAUUAACUAAGACAACUCUCAACAACGGAUAUCUAGGCUCUCGCAACGAUGAAGAACGCAGCGAAAUGCGAUACGUAGUGUGAAUUGCAGAAUUCCGUGAAUCAUCGAAUCUUUGAACGCAUAUUGCGGUCGAGGCUUCGGCUGAGACCAUGUCUGCCUCAGCGUCGGUGUGAACCCUCACUCCCCGUAACAGGUGGAGUGGACCUGGCCUCCCCAUUGCUCGCGUGAUGGGCUGGCUGAAAUUCAGAGGUUUAAGCUUGGACCUGUAUGGCAACAGCAAGGUAGGUAGAUUCUCUACUCCAGCUGAUGCUUUGGGCACUUGCAUAGGACCCGCAGGAAUUCUCACCUUUUCGACCUGAGAUCAGGCAAGG
rnacentral:rRNA from 1 species